AGUUAUUUCAAGUCCGGUCUAUUCUCAAGAGGCUCCUAGACUCCACUGAGCUUCACUCUCCUUUCCUGCAGCACCCGAAGAAGCUUAAUUAUGUUGCCAUCAGAGGAGUCCCUGGUGGUUUCAUUGUCUGCAUUUCUUGAUUUAUCAGCAAACAACAACAACAAAAAACCGCACACUCCUACAACAGAAAAACCCACACCAGAGAAGCACAGAAAGCCUUCCACAAAUGGAGAGAAAGGAGAAUUCUGUGUCGUAUAUAGAAACAACCAGCAACUUCUGAGAUGAAUAUUUAUUCUUUAAAGCUCCUGGUAUUUGUGCUGUAUACAUUGUCAUCGUUAAAAAUGUGAAGGCGGUCAAUAAACUCUCCAAACAGAGCAACCUCUUGGGCUUGUGAGCAUCUGCAAGAAGAAAAUUUCAUACCCUACAGCCUGGAAAAGGAAAUGCCUCAACCAAUUUUCCUGCACAGUGUGGAUGGAGUGACAAACACCUUCCCAGAGAGCCUCCAAGGAGGCAAACAAGGCAGAGGAGAGAAAGAACAUAGAAAAAUCCAUGUCUUGCAAAUGCCAAGAGAGAAAACAAUCAAAUUAUCUGGUGCCUGCUGUCUUCUUCUGAUCACCAGCCAGGUUCAGGGGGAGGGGAAUCCAUAUCCAUCCGGUUCAUUCCUUUCCCUGAACACACUCCUGCAUCUCAGGAAUCAGAUAACAGCAGGUGCUGUGACAUUAUGGCAAACAUUCUUGUCCUGGAGGAGUGGAUGUGUCACCUACUGA
rnacentral:lncRNA from 1 species